CCCUUAGAUGUUCUGGGCUGCACGCGCGCUACACUGAUGCGCUCAACGAGUUUUAACCUUGCCUGGAAAGGUUGGGUAAUCUUUUUAAAACGCAUCGUGAUGGGGAUAGAUUAUUGCAAUUAUUAAUCUUCAACGAGGAAUUCCUAGUAAGCGCGAGUCAUCAGCUUGCAUUGAUUACGUCCCUGCCCUUUGUACACACCGCCCGUCGCACCUACUGAUUGGAUGACUCGGUGAAAAAUUGGGACUGUGAAGAACACUGCUUAAUUGCGGCGUUUUUUAUGGGAACUUUUUUAAACCUCGUUAUCUAGAAGAAGGUGAANUCGUAACA
rnacentral:rRNA from 1 species